rnacentral:piRNA from 1 species
UAGAUCCAAAUUAAUCGGCAU